CAAUAGAAAGCCCACCCUGCAGUUUACCGGGGCUGGGUAAAGGAGCGAGCGCUGAGCUGGCCCCGAGCAUGCUGCAGGGUGCCAUAGCCUCCUGCGCUAGUCCUGGGCCUUUGGGAGAGCCCUUGGACACCGCUCUGGGCACAGCUGGCCACAGUCCCGGCCGAAACACUGCCCGGGCUCUCGCUGGCUGCCCGGCCCAGCUCCUGGCGAGGGCAGGAAUCGGCACCGCGCUCGCAAGGGCUGGAUGGCGUCCGCUCCUCGCCGCCUCCCCCACAAACAGUUGUUUGUCUUAAAUUGGGAUUUUUUUUUUCCCUGGGGCUGCCACAGAUUUUCCACCUCCGGGGCCAACCAACGGCCAGGGACGGAGGCUCAUUAGCGGCCAUGAGGGCGGCCGUCCCCGCCAGUGCCAGGCCUGUCUGCUGAGGGAGGCGGGCGGCAGCUUCGCGUCAAAUGCAAACAACCGUCCUUGUUUUCCUUGGUUGCCAGGGUAGGAGUUGACAUUGUCCCCAGCGGAGCACAAGGACUCCCCGUGACAUGGCGGGGACAAUGGGAAGAAACAAUUCAGAAAGUGACGCAUUACUUCUGCCUGUGGACAGAGGGAACAGCUGAAACGUGGGAGACCAGACUACAGCUGUGUGACUACAGCUUUUUUUCUUUCUUUUUUCUUUUUUUCGUUUCUCUCUUUUUUUUUUCUUUUUUUUUUUUUUUAACACAUAUUUUAGUGAAUAAAAGCUACUGAUUCUCUCUG